GGACCCGUGAGUGCCCAUUUGGUUCUCGGCUUUGUGGUGGUGUGUUUGCCGUGUUUUCCAGCAUUAUUAUUGUUAUUAUUGUUGUGGUGUGGUGUGUUGCGGUAUGGGGUAUAGGGUAUGGGGUAUGGGGAGGGGGAGGUGGAGUAUAGGAGGGGCGUGUUUUUCAUUAUUAUUAUUAUUGUUAUUUUUUUGGUUCUUGAGUGGGGUGUUAAUUGUGGUAGGGUUUUAAGGGGUUGUGGGGGGUUUAAGGGGGGGUUGAGGGGGGGAGGGGAGGGUUAAAAAAGCAGUUUGGCGGAUUUUGGCGGAUAAGCAUUUUAGACCAACCGAAUGACCCGGUUAAGUCUUAUCUGUUUUUGGUCUGAUUGGCGAGGAUGUAUUAAGCUCUCACGGUCUGUCUGUCCUCUGCUAUCUCCUUCUUGGUCUCUCUAUUUCUCUUGCUUUAUUUGGACUGUUAGUAAGUUGGGACAAAGCACACGGUCUCUGGUCUCUCUCUCUCACGCUCUCUCUCUGUCUGUCCUCCUCUCUCUCUCUCUCUCUUUGUCUCUCUGUUUCUCUUGCUUUAUUUGGACUGUUAGUAAGUUUGGACAAAGCACACGGUCUCUGGUCUCUCUCUCUCACGCUCUCUCUCUGUCUGUCCUCCUCUCUCUCUCUCUUUGUCCCUCUGUUUCUCUCGCUUUAUUUGGACUGUUAGUAAGUUGGGACAAAGCACACGGUCUCUGGUCUCUCUCUCUCACGCUCUCUCUCUGUCUGUCCUCCUCUGUUUCUCUCUGUCCCUCUGUUUCUCUCGCUUUAUUUUGACUGUUAGUAAGUUGGGACAAAGCACACGGUCUCUGGUCUCUCUCUCUCACACUCCUUCUCUGUCUGUCUCUCUCUCUUCUUACACUGCGCUCUUAGGUCUUGGUUGUUAUUCCCUCGCAGUCACUGAGCGGCAAAAACUGAGUCCGCAGGUAAAGAGAACGCUUCAGGUGGGGUGAGAGGGCAUUUGGUUAGGCGAGAUUGUAUUAGUUUGGGCUCGGCUUGGCUUGGCUUGCUUUGGUUUGAUAUCGCUUGGUUUGGCAUAGUUAGGCGAGGUGAAAUUACAACAGUUUGGGUAUGGCUUGGCUCGGCUUGGCUUGGCUUGAUGAGAUGAUGGCACAUUAUGAGACUAGAUUAAUUUUAGUUUGGCUUGGCUUGGUGAUAUUAGGUGAGGUUAAGCUAUAUAGUUUUGGUUUCGCUUGGCAUGGCUUGGUGAUAUUAGGUGAUGUUAGAUUAGGUGAGGUUAAGCUAUAUAGUUUUGGUUUCGCUUGGCAUGGCUUGGUGAUAUUAGGUGAUGUUAGGUUAGGUGAGGUUAAGCUAUAUAGUUUGUGAUAUUAGGUGACAUACCAUUGGGUGAGAUUAAGCUAUAUAGUUUUGGCUUGGUGAUAUUAGGUGACAUAACAUUGGGUGAGAUUAAGCUAUAUAGUUUUGGUUUGGUGAUAUUAGGUGACAUAACACUGGGUGAGAUUAAGCUAUAUAGUUUUGGCUUGGUGAUAUUAGGUGACAUACCAUUGGGUGAGAUUAAGCUAUAUAGUUUUGGUUUCGCUUGGCACGGGUUGACGGUGUGAUGAUUAGGUCAGUCUGGGUCUGGCUUGCUUGGGUCAACAUGGGUCAGGUGAAGUUAUGGUGAAGUGAAUACGUAUUUUAAUGGUCUGGAGAUGUGAAAAAAAAUCAAUAAAUAAAUAAAAAAAUAAAAUAAAAAUAAAAAUAGCUGGUAUUGGAGGUGGAGUUAGUACGCUAUAGGAAUGUUAAUUUAAUGGUUAGUGGUUAGUUAAUAGUGCUGUUAAACCUGGUAAUGAAUGAACAGAAGAUGAAUAAAUAGAUAAGCUUGUAAUUUGCAACAUUUAAAGCUUGACUGUGUGUGUGUGUGUGUGCGUGUGUGCAUGUAAGGAAGCGUACAUAAAGUCUCAUGUCUGUUUUUUUCUGUUUACUUGUGUGUACGUAAUUUAAGCAUGGCUGUGUGCGUGUAAGAAAGCAUACAUAAAGUCUCAUGUCUGUUUUUUUCUGUUCACUUGUGUGUACGUAAUUUAAGCAUGGCUGUGUGCGUGUAAGAAAGCGUACAUGAGGUCUCUUGUCGGUUGUUUCAGGUCACUUGCAUGUAGGUGUAUGUGCGUAAUUUAAGUCUGGCUGUGUGUGUACGUCUGCGUGUGAGUGUGUGUGUAUGUCUGCAUGUGAGGCUGUGUGUGUACGUCUGCACGUGAGUGUGUGUGUAUGUCUGCAUGUGAGGCUGUGUGUGUACGUCUGCACGUGAGUGUGUGUGUACGUCUGCAUGUGAGUGUGUGUGUACGUCUGCAUGUGAGUGUGUGUGUACGUCUGCAUGUGAGGCUGUGUGUACGUCUGCAUGUGUGUGUGUGUGUACGUCUGCAUGUGAGGCUGUGUGUACGUCUGCAUGUGAGUGUGUGUGUACGUCUGCAUGUGAGGCUGUGUGUGUGUGUCUGCAUGUGAGGCUGUGUGUACGUCUGCAUGUGAAAGUGUGUACGUAAAUUACAGCAUCUAAUGGCUUAUAUCUUCCAGGGUGUGUGCGUUUGUGUGUGCGUGUGUAGGUUUUUGCACGAGGGGACAUUCACACUCUUCCUCCACUUCCAUCAAUCUUCCACACGUCACAGUAAUUCAUUUUCCACAAGACAACGGAUGCAAUAAAUUGGUCUCGGAUAUAAUCUUUCUCAGAACCACAAUUAUCUCUCGCUCACUUAGGGUAAACAAUCUAUCCCUCAGAACUCCUCUAAAUAGGCCUCCCAGCUUUAUGAUUGGAUAACGCAACACUUGGUAAAAUUUCACGGCAACACAAAUGACGCAACACACACACAAAGACAACAUAUCCAGGGCAACACGGAUGUAUGUGUACGAAUGUGUGUGCCUGGUGUGUUGCGUCCUGCUGUGUUGCGAUUUCUCUGGUUGCUUGUGCUGUGUUGGUGGUGGGCCUUGUAACUCCACCACCACCACCACCACCACCAUCACC